UUUCUUUAUGUUGGUGUUCCUGUCGAGUCGUUCUGUGAAGUUCCUAGCGUUUUUCUUUCAUAUUUGUGAUAUUUCAUCUGUUAGCAUGCCGAAAAGAAUUCAAAGUAGCGGAAGAAAUAUUAUACUAUCGGUGUGUGAUUUCUGUGAAAGAGAAAAAGAAAAUAUGCUCCUUUAAUUCCAUUUGGAAAUGUUCGUCAACGAGUUGCCGCCAUGACAGGAAUAUCUGAAAAAACCGUAAGCUCCAUAACUAAAGAAGGCGAAGUUGCUGCAUCGAUUUCUCAAAAAAUUUCUACGCCCAGAAAAAAACGCCUCCAAGAAAAAAAAUUUUUGGAUGAUUUUGAUCUGUGUGCAGUUCGAAAUAAAAUACUUGAAAUGUAUACCGUCAGAAAAGAGGUACCGACCAUAGGAAAACUCUUAGCAGAGUUAAAAAUUGAUAUAAAUUUUUGUGGAGGUCGUACUACAUUAUGGAAAAUUAUACCUACCUACGAAAAAAUGCUGUGCGAAACUCUAUUUCACUAUUUCUUGUGAGAAAUUGAAAUAUUGUGAAAAACGUUUGAUAGCUAUGAAUGACAGGUAGCCUAAAACGCAAAUAGAUUACUUUAUUUCCGAUUAAGAUAAUUAUCCGGAUGAAUAUAUUGUGGUUAUUACUGUGUAACUAAUACAAUAACAAAUGACAGCUUACAAUUAAUACACUAAACGUGCUUUUGUAGGAUAAAAAGUAGCAACUCGUAAAUGGGUUGGUUAUUCUUUGGUACUAGUUAAAUACUAUUGAUCAGCUUACACAUAUUUUUUGAGUUAUUUUCAUAUUGUAAUUAUUAUCAUUUCGUAUCUUACUGAACAGUUUAUUAAAUUGGAAUAACGAACUUCGCUCCUGACGGAAAUCUCCCGAUCACUUAAUUGUUUUUUAUUUUAAAAUAAUAUUAUUAGAUAGGCAUAUUCUUAAAGAUAUAUAAAGGUAUAGUCUUAUAUUAAAUAACAAAGCGAACUGAAAUUAAUAUGAUAAGAUAGGUAUAAAUAAUAUUAUAAGAUAGGUAUAUUUUUUAUCAUCGGAAUACGAAUAAUAAAACUAUUAAAAUAA